AAACUAACAAGGAUUCCCCUAGUAACUGCGAGUGAAGCGGGAAAAGCUCAAAUUUGAAAUCUGGCUGUCUUUAUGGCGGUCCGAGUUGUAAUUUCGAGAAGCGUUACCCGCGCUGGACCAUACAUAAGUCUUCUGGAAAGAAGCAUCAUAGAGGGUGAGAAUCCCGUCUUUGGUAUGGACUCCCAGUGCAUUGUGGUAUGCUCUCAACGAGUCGAGUUGUUUGGGAAUGCAGCUCAAAAUGGGUGGUAAAUUCCAUCUAAAGCUAAAUAUUGGCGUGAGACCGAUAGCGAACAAGUACCGUGAGGGAAAGAUGAAAAGAACUUUGGAAAGAGAGUUAAACAGUACGUGAAAUUGCCAAUAGGGAAACGCUUGAAGUCAGUCGCGUUGCUCAGAAAUCAGCCUUACUCUUUUGUAUGGUGUACUUUCUGUGUUAACGGGUCAACAUCAGUUUUGGUUGUCGGAAAAAGGCUUGAAGAAUGUGGCUUCCUCGGAAGUGUUAUAGCUUCUUGUCAUAUACGAUGACUCGGGACUGAGGAACUCAGCACGCUCUGUUGUGCUUAGGAUGUUGGCAUAAUGGCUUUAAGCGAC
rnacentral:rRNA from 1 species